rnacentral:lncRNA from 1 species
AACACAGGGCUCGAAUGUGGACAGGAGGAGGACCUAAGUGGACCCGGAGGCUGAGCUGGCCUCGCAGCACUGGUGGUGGGGGAGGGCUGAUGGUCAGGACUCUGGGUCUUUGGCACUGCUGCCUAGGCCGUGGCCCUCAGUCUGCCCAUCUGUGAAAUGAGGGGGAGCUGGUCCUGACUGCCUCCCAGGGACCCUGUGAAAAGCCGCUCUGAACUCCUUGCCAGAGAGGAGGUUUGCCGGUGCCACAAUCCAGAGCUGAGAUUUCUUUACAUCACAGUGGUUCAAGGAGAAAAACACAGCCAGAUCCUUCCUCAUCUCAACAUAAAUUAAACCCAGAGGCAGUCAGCGCCACAGUCCACACUCGUAACCGUUACACUCACCUGGAAAUAAAAGUAUUUUUGUGCGGGGACUGCAAGGACUAAGCCCGGCCGCACUCCGAGUUUCUCCUCCUCACAGACUGGAUGAUGAGAGGCACAGCUGAGUCCGGAGCAGACUGAGCCACCUAAGAGGGGAGGAACCGCUGCAGAGAAACCGUGUUAAGCCUUUUUGAAGUUCCAGAGGGAGAACAAGAGAGCGGAGGCUCCUGGUGGCUGGUGACAGGAGCCUGCAGAGCCACUGCCCUGACAGGGGACACCUCACUUCCUCUCCUUGCAGCUGCUCUUGGCUGGGAGAGCAGAGAACAGGGGACAGGAGAGAAGCCCCGAGAGUACUGAAGCUGAGGCUGGGGCGGUCUUCACUUCCCUCUUUCCUCGGCCCUUUUCCUGUUCUCUUGUCUUGUCUCUCUUUCUCUACUUUCCUUCUCCCUAGCCCAGUCUCUCACCGCUCUUCAGCCUCUGGGCCUUUCCUUCUUCCUCUCUUGCCCUCAUUCUUCCUUCUCUGUCCCUCUUGUCUUCUCUUUUACCUCUUCUCUUCUUCCCUCCUUCCUACAGCUAUGCCCUCUUCCCUCCUUUCUCUUGUCCCCAACCAGGGCAUUAGAAAUGCAUUCCAGUUACACUGAUCUGAUCACUGCAUAUUGUAUGCAUGCAUCAAAAUAUCACAUGUACCCCAGAAAUAUGUAAAUUACUGCAUAUCAAUAAAAAGAAAUGUAGCUUC